rnacentral:rRNA from 1 species
CGAAAGCCUGAUGGAGCAACGCCGCGUGAGGGAUGAAGGCCUCUGGGCUGUAAACCUCUUUUCUCAAGGAAGAAGAUCUGACGGUACUUGAGGAAUAAGCCACGGCUAAUUCCGUGCCAGCAGCCGCGGUAAUACGGGAGUGGCAAGCGUUAUCCGGAAUUAUUGGGCGUAAAGCGUCCGCAGGCGGUUCUGUAAGCCUGCCGUUAAAGCGUGGAGCUCAACUCCAUUUCGGCGGUGGAAACUGCAGGACUUGAGUGUGGUAGGGGCAGAGGGAAUUCCCGGUGUAGCGGUGAAAUGCGUAGAUAUCAGGAAGAACACCAGUGGCGAAGGCGCUCUGCUGGGCCAUAACUGACGCUCAUGGACGAAAGCCAGGGGAGCG